rnacentral:rRNA from 1 species
UACGUAGGGUGCAAGCGUUAUCCGGAAUUAUUGGGCGUAAAGAGCUCGUAGGCGGUGUGUCACGUCGGCCGUGAAAACCUGCAGCUUAACUGUGGGCGUGCGGUCGAUACGGGCAUCACUGGAGUUCGGCAGGGGGAGACUGGAAUUCCUGGUGUAGCGGUGAAAUGCGCAGAUAUCAGGAGGAACACCGGUGGCGAAGGCGGGUCUCUGGGCCGAUACUGACGCUGAGGAGCGAAAGCGUGGGGAGCAAACAGG